AACUACCCUUCGGAAACACAAUACCUUCCGGAAACUGAGGCUAAUAGUGUAUACCAUACCACCACUGGAAUGAGUGGUAUGCCAAACGCUCCGGCGCCGAAGGAUGUGGCUGCGGCCGAUUAGGUAGACGGUGGGGUAACGGCCCACCGUGCCAAUAAUCGGUAUGGGUCAUGAGAGUGAGAACCCAGAGACGGAAUCUGAGACAAGAUUCCGGGCCCUACGGGGCGCAGCAGGCGCGAAACCUUUACACUGCACGACAGUGCGAUAGGGGGAUCCCAAGUGCACAGGCAUAGCGCCUGUGCUUUUCGGUACCGUAAGGUGGUACCAGAAUAAGGGCUGGGCAAGACCGGUGCCAGCCGCCGCGGUAAUACCGGCAGCCCAAGUGAUGGCCGAUCUUAUUGGGCCUAAAGCGUCCGUAGCUGGCCGCGCAAGUCCAUCGGGAAAUCCACCUGCUCAACAGGUGGGCGCCCGGUAGAAACUGCGUGGCUUGGGACCGGAAGGCGCGACGGGUACGUCCGGGGUAGGAGUGAAAUCCCGUAAUCCUGGACGGACCGCCGAUGGCGAAAGCACGUCGCGAGGACGGAUCCGACAGUGAGGGACGAAAGCCAGGGUCUCGAACCGGAAUUAGAUACCCGGGUAGUCCUGGCCGUAAACAAUGUCUGCUAGGUGUGGCUCCCACUACGAGUGGGUGCUGUGCCGUAGGGAAGCCGCUAAGCAGACCGCCUGGGAAGUACGUCCGCAAGGAUGAAACUUAAAGGAAUUGGCGGGGGAGCACUACAACCGGAGGAGCCUGCGGUUUAAUUGGACUCAACGCCGGACAUCUCACCAGCAUCGACUGUAAUAAUGACGACCAGGUUGAUGACCUUGUCCGAGUUUCAGAGAGGAGGUGCAUGGCCGCCGUCAGCUCGUACCGUGAGGCGUCCUGUUAAGUCAGGCAACGAGCGAGACCCGCACCCUUACUUGCCAGCAGUACCGCGAGGUAGCUGGGGACAGUAGGGGGACCGCCGUGGCUAACACGGAGGAAGGAACGGGCAACGGUAGGUCAGUAUGCCCCGAAUGUGCUGGGCAACACGCGGGCUACAAUGGUCGAGACAAAGGGUUCCAACUCCGAAAGGAGACGGUAAUCUCAGAAACUCGAUCGUAGUUCGGAUUGUGGGCUGCAACUCGCCCACAUGAAGCUGGAUUCGGUAGUAAUCGCGUGUCACAAGCGCGCGGUGAAUACUUCCCCUGCUCCUUGCGAAACACCGCCCGUCAAAGCACCCGAUUUU
rnacentral:rRNA from 1 species